GACGAACGCUGGCGGCGUGCUUAACACAUGCAAGUCGAACGGAAAGGCCCUGCUUUUGUGGGGUGCUCGAGUGGCGAACGGGUGAGUAACACGUGAGUAACCUGCCCUUGACUUUGGGAUAACUUCAGGAAACUGGGGCUAAUACCGGAUAGGAGCUCCUGCUGCAUGGUGGGGGUUGGAAAGUUUCGGCGGUUGGGGAUGGACUCGCGGCUUAUCCGCUUGUUGGUGAGGUAGUGGCUUACCAAGGCUUUGACGGGUAGCCGGCCUGAGAGGGUGACCGGCCUCAUUGGGACUGAGAUAGGGCCCAGACUCCUACGGGAGGCAGCAGUGGGGAAUAUGACACAAUGGGCGGGAGCCUGAUGCAGCAGCGCCGCGUGCGGGAUAACGGCCUUCGGGUUGUAAACCGCUGUCGCCUGUGACGAAGCGUGAGUGACGGUAAUGGGUAAAAAAGCACCGGCUAACUACGUG
rnacentral:rRNA from 1 species